CACGCCUCCAAGCUGCAGAGCACGCAGUUCUCUCUAUUAUGGUUUAAUGUACAUUUGGUUUUUUUCUCUUUCAGGCCCUGGGAUCCCAGUUCCCACCAAAUUUAAUGCAGAUGCAGCUAUUUGGCUGGAGAGCAGAAAGGCACUGAAAACAAUCACCUUCCUGUAACCCCAGCUGAACAGAUCUGUCACUGACGUGGAACAGCACCACUGAAACCUUCAGAAAUG
rnacentral:lncRNA from 12 species